rnacentral:lncRNA from 1 species
GGAGGAGAGUGAGGUGGCGUUGGGUGAGGUUCCAGUGGGAGGGGUUGAGCGACGAAGAUCCGACGGUGGAGAUGUAAUGUGGCGGUUGAGGCGAGUGGGAGGAGAAAGAAGAGAUGAGUUUGGGAAGUGCGGUGGGUUUAGUGAAGGAGAGGUUAGGUUGUUGUAGUGAGAGAGUGUUGUUGAUGGUGGGUUUAGUGAAGGAGAGGUUAGGUUAGGUUAGAAAAACGGGUGGGUGGUUUGAAGGUUGAAAACGCAGGGAGGUUAGCAUCUCUGUGGAGUUUGGUGGUUGACACGGUGACGAAGAGUUUUCUCCACUGCUGAAACUGAAGCUUCCAUCUUCAUCUUCUCUUUACGUGUUGUGUGUGAGAUUCGGAGAUUGAAAUAAGCAGAAAACAAAAGUUGUGGCUUUGGAGUUCAUGAUGGUGGGAUGAUUAUGAAGAUUUUUUUUUAAUGAAAGACUUUAAACAGCGCUUUCUCAAAGCCGCUGACUAAGGUGUCUAUAUUUAAAGCUUUCUAAAAGCGCUGUCUAAGGGGGGGUCUUAGACAGCGCUUUUACAAAAGCGCUGUCUAAGACCCCCCCUUAGACAGCGCUUUCAUUAUUUUUUUGAACAUUUUCCGUGUUUUAUUUUUAUUUUAACCUUAGACAGCGCUUUCUUUUAAAAGCGUUGUCUAAGAUGCGCUGUUAAAAGUCAUUUUUGGCGUAGUGGACGUAUGAAUUGCUUCAUAUGGAAGACAAUGAAAGCAUAAUUGAUUUCUUCACCAAGGUUACGAAACUAGUGAAUCAAAUCAAGGUAUGUGGAGAAGUGUUGACAUCAAGAUCUGUCGUUGGAGAGAUCUUGAGGUCGUUGGCUCUAAAGUUCGAACACGUGGUAGUAGCCAUAGAAGAGUCGAAAGAUUUAUCAAAACUGACAAAGGAAGAGCUUCAAGGGACGCUUGAAUCUCAUGAACAAAGAAUGGUUGAAAGAGUUGCAGGAAAGUCGAAGAGUGAUAUGGUUUUACAGGCGCAAUCAGUAAAAGAAAGGAAAGGAAAAGGAAGUUGGACUGGCAACAAAGGCAUAUGAGGUUACAACAAUUCGACUGAUCGAAAUCAGCAAGAAGGAAACUGGUCGAAUAAGAGAAAACCCUGGAAUCAAGGCAACCAAAGAGGUGGUGUUGCAGGUAGAGGAAGAGGUGGUGGUC